rnacentral:rRNA from 1 species
CCUACGGGUGGCAGCAGUGAGGAAUAUUGGUCAAUGGGCGUAAGGCUGACCCAGCCAAGUCGCGUGAGUGAAGAAGGAUCUAUGGUUUGUAAACUUCUUUUAUAGGGGAGUAAAGGUAUCCUAGUUGGGAUAUUUGCAUGUACCCUAUAAGUAAGCGUCGGCUAACUCCGUGCCAGCAGCCGCGGGAAUACGGAGGAUGCGAGCGUUAUCCGGAUUUAUUGGGUUUAAAGGGUGCGUAGGUGGUUUUUUAAGUCAGAGGUGAAAGUUUCUGGCUCAACCAUAAAAUUGCCGUUGAAACUGUAAGACUGGAGUGUGUUUGAGGUAGGCGGAAUGCGUGGUGUAGCGGUGAAAUGCAUAGAUAUCACGAAGAACUCCGAUUGCGAAGGCAGCUUACUAAGCCAUAACUGACACUGAAGCACGAAAGCGUGGGGAGCAAACAGGAUUAGAUACCCGAGUAGUC